ACAAGCAGGCGAGCGUGUUGUCGAAAUGCUUUCUCGAAGUUGAAACUCUCGGCUGCGGCCGGUGUUUUUACGAAGCCAAAUCCCUCGAUUCCGGUGUUUGCCGAAGUUCGAAACACCCGUGGCGAAAAUGAAAAACAGCUACUGCCACCGGAGCUUCGGCUAUCGCUCUGCGUGUUGUCGAUUCAACACUAACAUUCAGUGGCAGUUGCAAUACACGCCGUGCCGUGUUUCGAUGCAAAAGUGGCAACUGGGCAGCACAGUUCGGUGUUUCGACCAUGGCUGUCUGGCACCUCUGACAUAUGCAACCUAGUUGCCAAAUUGGCGGUUUUUUUCAUCGCUUAUCUCUCUCUCUCUCUGAGUAUCUCUAGUUACAACCAUGCCUCACUGACAGAAGGCCUAAAUAUAAAAUAGAAGUUUUCAAUAUUAUCUCGGGGAAAAUCAUUUCAUCAUGUGUCUGUUAUUAAAAUAUGUCACUACUUUGAUUCGCAACCUCUGCCUCGCAACCAAAUAGCCAAAUAGCAGCAAAUUCCGUGCACUAAGAAGCGUGAAUUCCAAACAAAAGCAGAAGCAGAUGUCGAGCUUGGUAACGGAAGUUUAUUUGGACACAGAAACGGAGUAGUACACGAACAAUCCCUCUUUGCUUACUAUGAAGGAGCCCCGAUGGCAGAUCGCACCGAUUACCGUUGACCAAAAAAACAUCCGUAAGGAUUUUAACCAGUUCAUUCCUUACGAUUCUGCACUGCAAAAUGUCGCAUUUAUGAAGCCAAAUUCAGUCAAUCAAGACGAAGCAGGAGAGCAAACGCUGGCUAGAAUGUAGUUCAUGCUAACCAAGAUUCCACUGUAACUUCAAAUGACGAUCAAAACCAUCGUCAAACGACUCUGCUGCCAAUCAAGCUGUCAUCAUUGAAAAUUUAGCAAAUAUCGUCAUCGCCCUUGGCCAGUUGAAAACAGGUUUCGAUUCCCUAAACAUCAAAGGGGAAUAAAUUGAAUUUCUUCUAGAGUUUCGAGACAACGUUUCGCUUAUUACUGCUGACGAGAGUUUCUAGCCAGUUGAUUCAAAAGAAACGCUGGAUGCUCUAAAAGCUUGCUUGGAUAACGAAGAAGAAUGUCCAGGGAUCAUACACCAGCGGAACAUACCGGAUUAGCGGAGACUCAAAUAAAAAUUUCUUUUAUGGUUUUCACCAAAGUGCGUAAGCUGUUUUUAAGGCUAAUCUUGCAAGCUGACAGCGCGUUUACUGCAGUAAUGUGUGAUGCUUUUUUGAGUGCUCAGGAAUAGCAAGCGACAUUUGCUAUCGAAAACUGUUUCUUAACAUAAAAAUCGCCCGAAAAACCUACAAUAUAAUGCUCGCCAUCAUGAAAUUUAAUCGAUUACUGCCCAGGCGGAAUCCGAGAUUGUAAACACUGGAUGUAAAAACUGAAUUAGAGUUUGACUUAAGAAACCAUAUGUAUUUCUGUACAAACUACAGAUCAA